GGUAGGACCCUCGGCAACGGAUAUCUCGGCUCUCGCAUCAACGAAGAACGUAGCGAAAUGCAAUACGUGGUGUGAAUUGCAGAAUCCCAUGAACCAUCGAGUCUUUGAACGCAAGUUACGCUCGAGGCCAUCCGGCCGAGGGCACGCUUGCUUGGGCAUCACGC
rnacentral:rRNA from 1 species